rnacentral:misc_RNA from 1 species
AUCAAGCUAUGCUUGGCCUUGGGCUUGUCGCCCCCUCUUUCGAGGUGGGCGUGCCCCAAAUGACCCCCGGCGAAGUCGAUCCGGCCCUGGGCGUAGUAGAAAUUAUCACGUCGAGAGGGUCCGGUUGGCUUUUGCGUCGAAACACCAACUCUUUUUCAAAGGUUGACCUCGGAUCAGGUAGGGAUACCCGCUGAACUUAA